rnacentral:rRNA from 1 species
AGUGAACGCUGGCGGUAGGCCUAACACAUGCAAGUCGAACGGCAGCACAGUAAGAGCUUGCUCUUACGGGUGGCGAGUGGCGGACGGGUGAGGAAUACAUCGGAAUCUACUUUUUCGUGGGGGAUAACGUAGGGAAACUUACGCUAAUACAGCAUACGACCUACGGGUGAAAGCAGGGGAUCUUCGGACCUUGCGCGAUUGAAUGAGCCGAUGUCGGAUUAGCUAGUUGGCGGGGUAAAGGCCCACCAAGGCGACGAUCCGUAGCUGGUCUGAGAGGAUGAUCAGCCACACUGGAACUGAGACACGUUCCAGACUCCUACGGUAGGCAGCAGUGGGGAAUAUUGGACAAUGGGCGCAAGCCUGAUCCAGCCAUACCGCGUGGGUGAAGAAGGCCUUCGGGUUGUAAAGCCCUUUUGUUGGGAAAGAAAAGCAGCAGGUUAAUACCCCGCUGUUCUGACGGUACCCAAAGAAUAAGCACCGGCUAACUUCGUG